AAUAAGUGUACUUUUGCACUAUUCAUAUUCAACAUUUGAUCAUUCGUCUUAUUUGAUUUUUUUUAUAAUUAGUAUUUUUAUUGAUAUUAGAUGAUAAAACAUGAAUAUUAUUUUAUGUGUGACUUUUUUAAAAAAAAUUAAUACAUUUUUCAAAUAAGACGGAUGAUUAAAUAUUGAACACGGAUAUCCAUAGUUACACUUAUU
rfam:Oryza meridionalis cultivar OR44 (W2112) chromosome 12, whole genome shotgun sequence.